GAAAUGCCUUUGAGCGCCCCGUGCAAAC
rnacentral:piRNA from 1 species